rnacentral:rRNA from 1 species
UACGUAGGGGGCAAGCGUUGUCCGGAAUCAUUGGGCGUAAAGAGCGCGUAGGCGGCCCUGUAAGUCCGCUGUGAAAGUCAAGGGCUCAACCCUUGGAUGCCGGUGGAUACUGCAGGGCUAGAGUCCGGAAGAGGCGAGUGGAAUUCCUGGUGUAGCGGUGAAAUGCGCAGAUAUCGGGAGGAACACCAAUGGCGAAGGCAGCUUGCUGGGACGGUACUGACGCUGAGGAGCGAAAGCGUGGGGAGCGAACAGG